rfam:Anolis carolinensis chromosome 6, whole genome shotgun sequence.
AUGUGAGGGUAACCUGUCUGCGACAUCUGUAACUCCAUUGAUCACUAGCAUUGAUUUGUCUUAUCUGGCUGGUUAGGCAGAUGUCUCCUUGUUUCUUUAUUAUUCCAUGUGUGUCCCUCCCAGAGCUGUGUUGUCAGUGGAAGAGGAAGGCCAUCCCAUAUAGAAGGAGUGCACCAUUCUUCAGUCAAGGUUAAAACCCCAAACAAGCUCAAGAUCUAUUUGUAGGAGAACAUAGGUAUAUAAUGUAAUCUAUUCAUUCAAUGUAAUCUAUUCAUUCUAUUCAAU